rnacentral:rRNA from 1 species
AUACCGAGUGGCAAACGGGUGAGUAUAAUGUGGGAAUCUGCCUUUUGGUUUGGAAUAACACGGGGAAACUUGUGCUAAUACCGAAUAAGCCUUUACGGGGAAAGUUUUAACGCCGAAAGAUGAGCCUGCACUUGAUUAGCUAGUUGGUAAGGUAAAAGCUUACCAAGGCAACGAUCAAUAGCUGUUCUUAGAGGAAGACCAGCCACAUUGGGACUGAGACACGGCCCAGACUCCUACGGGAGGCAGCAGUGGGGAAUCUUGCACAAUGGGGGAAACCCUGAUGCAGCGAUGCCGCGUGAGUGAAGAAGGCCAUUGGGUUGUAAAACUCUUUCGUCGGGGAAGAAAAUGACUGUACCCGAAUAAGAAGGUCCGGCUAACUUCGUGCCAGCAGCCGCGGUAAUACGAAGGGACCUAGCGUAGUUCGGAAUUACUGGGCUUAAAGAGCUCGUAGGUGGUUAAAAAAGUUGAUGGUGAAAUCCCAAGGCUCAACCUUGGAACUGCCAUCAAAACUUUUUAGCUAGAGUGUGAUAGAGGUAAGUGGAAUUUCUAGUGUAGAGGUGAAAUUCGUAGAUAUUAGAAAGAACACCAAAUGCGAAGGCA